rnacentral:rRNA from 1 species
AUUGAACGCUGGCGGCAGGCCUAACACAUGCAAGUCGAACGAGUGGCGGACGGGUGAGUAAUGUCUGGGAAACUGCCCGAUGGAGGGGGAUAACUACUGGAAACGGUAGCUAAUACCGCAUACCAUCGGAUGUGCCCAGAUGGGAGUAGCUUGUAGGUGAGGUAACGGCUCACCUAGGCGACGAUCCCUAGCUGGUCUGAGAGGAUGACCAGACACACUGGAACUGAGACACGGGACAGACUCGUACGGGAUGCAGCAGUGGGGAAUAUGGCAAAAUGGGGGCAAGCGUGAUGCAGCAAGGCCGGGUGUAUGAAGAAGGACUUCGGGUUGUAAAGUAAGGUCAGCGGGGAGGCGUUACCCGCAGAAGAAGCACCGGCUAACUCCGUGCCAGCAGCCGCGGUAAUAC